UACAGAGGGUGCGAGCGUUAAUCGGAAUUACUGGGCGUAAAGGGUGCGUAGGUGGAAGAACAAGUCAAAGGUGAAAUCCCUGGGCUUAACCUGGGAAUGGCCUGUGAAACUGUUUUUCUAGAGUAGAGUAGAGGGGAGUGGAAUUUCCGGUGUAGCGGUGAAAUGCGUAGAGAUCGGAAGGAACACCAGUGGCGAAGGCGGCUCUCUGGGCUCAUACUGACACUGAGGCACGAAAGCGUGGGGAGCGAACAGG
rnacentral:rRNA from 1 species